CCUACGGGAGGCAGCAGUGAGGAAUAUUGGUCAAUGGACGAGAGUCUGAACCAGCCAAGUAGCGUGAAGGAUGACUGCCCUAUGGGUUGUAAACUUCUUUUAUAUGGGAGUAAAAUGUUCCACGUGUGGGAUUUUGUAUGUACCAUAUGAAUAAGCAUCGGCUAACUCCGUGCCAGCAGCCGCGGUAAUACGGAGGAUCCGAGCGUUAUCCGGAUUUAUUGGGUUUAAAGGGUGGGGAGGUGGAUGGUUAAGUCAGUUGUGAAAGUUUGGGGCUCAACCGGAAAAUUGCAGUUGAAACUGGAUGUCUUGAGUACACUAGAGGUGUGCGGAAUGCGUGGUGUAGCGGUGAAAUGCAUAGAUAUCACGAAGAACUCCGAUUGCGAAGGCAGUUCACUGGAGUGCAACUGACACUGAGGCUCGAAAGUGUGGGUAUCAAACAGGAUUAGAUACCCCAGUAGUC
rnacentral:rRNA from 1 species